rnacentral:rRNA from 1 species
GGGCCCGCACAAGCGGUGGAGCAUGUGGUUUAAUUCGAUGAUACGCGAGGAACCUUACCAGGGCUUAAAUGUAGUCUGACAGGGGUGGAAACACCCCCUCCUUCGGGCAGAUUACAAGGUGCUGCAUGGUUGUCGUCAGCUCGUGCCGUGAGGUGUCAGGUUAAGUCCUAUAACGAGCGCAACCCCUGCCGUUAGUUGCCAGCAUGUAAUGAUGGGAACUCUAACGGGACUGCCGGUGCAAACCGCGAGGAAGGUGGGGAUGACGUCAAAUCAUCACGGCCCUUACGUCCUGGGCUACACACGUGCUACAAUGGCCGGUACAGAGGGCAGCCACACCGCAAGGUGGAGCGAAUCCUUAAAACCGGUCUCAGUUCGGAUCGAAGUCUGCAACUCGACUUCGUGAAGUCGGAAUC